AGCGAACGCUGGCGGCAGGCUUAACACAUGCAAGUCGAACGGGCGUAGCAAUACGUCAGUGGCAGACGGGUGAGUAACGCGUGGGAACGUACCUUUUGGUUCGGAACAACACAGGGAAACUUGUGCUAAUACCGGAUAAGCCCUUACGGGGAAAGAUUUAUCGCCGAAAGAUCGGCCCGCGUCUGAUUAGCUAGUUGGUGAGGUAACGGCUCACCAAGGCGACGAUCAGUAGCUGGUCUGAGAGGAUGAUCAGCCACAUUGGGACUGAGACACGGCCCAAACUCCUACGGGAGGCAGCAGUGGGGAAUAUUGGACAAUGGGCGCAAGCCUGAUCCAGCCAUGCCGCGUGAGUGAUGAAGGCCCUAGGGUUGUAAAGCUCUUUUGUGCGGGAAGAUAAUGACGGUACGCAAGAAUAAGCCCCGGNUAACUUCGUG
rnacentral:rRNA from 1 species